ACUGACGCUGAUGGACGAAAGCGUGGGGAGCGAACAGGAUUAGAUACCUGGUAGUCCACGCCGUAAACGAUGCUAACUCGUUUUUGGUUUUUCGGAAUCAGAGACUAAGCGAAAGUGAUAAGUUAGCCACCUGGGGAGUACGAACGCAAGUUUGAAACUCAAAGGAAUUGACGGGGGCCCGCACAAGCGGUGGAUUAUGUGGUUUAAUUCGAUGAUACGCGAGGAACCUUACCAAGACUUAAAUGGGAAUUGACAGAUUUAGAAAUAGAUCCUCCUUCGGGCAAUUUUCAAGGUGCUGCAUGGUUGUCGUCAGCUCGUGCCGUGAGGUGUUAGGUUAAGUCCUGCAACGAGCGCAACCCCUGUCACUAGUUGCCAUCAUUCAGUUGGGGACUCUAGUGAGACUGCCUACGCAAGUAGAGAGGAAGGUGGGGAUGACGUCAAAUCAUCACGGCCCUUACGUCUUGGGCCACACACGUAAUACAAUGGCCGGUACAGAGGGCAGCUACACAGCGAUGUGAUGCAAAUCUCGAAAGCCGGUCUCAGUUCGGAUUGGAGUCUGCAACUCGACUCUAUGAAGCUGGAAUCGCUAGUAAUCGCGCGUCAGCCAUGGCGCGGUGAAUACGUUCCCGGGCCUUGUACACACCGCCCGUCAAGCCAUGGAAGUCUGGGUACCUGAAGUCGGGACCGAACAGGAGCUGCCUA
rnacentral:rRNA from 1 species